rnacentral:lncRNA from 1 species
UAUGUUGCUCGGAUUUUAAAAAAAAAAUGCUGUUACAUUCAUGUUGAAUCUUCAAAAAUAUGUUACUUUGAAAAGAUUCAAAUGCAGCCAUCAGCAUUUUUAAAGAGUCGAAGCAACAUAGAAAUCGAUAAUUUACAUGUGGGACAACAGUUCAAGAGGAGCCAUACUUGAUUAAGCAUAUCAUGAUCAGAAAUAUUAAAAUCUAGAAGAUAACAAU